rnacentral:rRNA from 1 species
GAUGAACGCUAGCUACAGGCUUAACACAUGCAAGUCGAGGGGCAUCAGGAAGAAAGCUUGCUUUCUUUGCUGGCGACCGGCGCACGGGUGAGUAACACGUAUCCAACCUGCCCUUUACUCGGGGAUAGCCUUUCGAAAGAAAGAUUAAUACCCGAUAGCAUAAUGAUUCCGCAUGGUUUCAUUAUUAAAGGAUUCCGGUAAAGGAUGGGGAUGCGUUCCAUUAGGUUGUUGGUGAGGUAACGGCCCACCAAGCCUUCGAUGGAUAGGGGUUCUGAGAGGAAGGUCCCCCACAUUGGAACUGAGACACGGUCCAAACUCCUACGGGAGGCAGCAGUGAGGAAUAUUGGUCAAUGGGCGUUAGCCUGAACCAGCCAAGUAGCGUGAAGGAUGAAGGCUCUAUGGGUCGUAAACUUCUUUUAUAUAAGAAUAAAGUGCAGUAUGUAUACUGUUUUGUAUGUAUUAUAUGAAUAAGGAUCGGCUAACUCCGUGCCAGCAGCCGCGGUAAUACGGAGGAUCCGAGCGUUAUCCGGAUUUAUUGGGUUUAAAGGGAGCGUAGGUGGACUGGUAAGUCAGUUGUGAAAGUUUGCGGCUCAACCGUAAAAUUGCAGUUGAUACUGUCAGUCUUGAGUACAGUAGAGGUGGGCGGAAUUCGUGGUGUAGCGGUGAAAUGCGUAGAUAUAAGGAAGAACACCAGCGGCGAAGGCGGAUUACUGGACGACAACUGACGGUGAGGCGCGAAAGCGUGGGGAGCA